UACGAAGGGGGCUAGCGUUGCUCGGAAUCACUGGGCGUAAAGCGCACGUAGGCGGAUUCUUAAGUCAGGGGUGAAAUCCUGGAGCUCAACUCCAGAACUGCCUUUGAUACUAAGGGUCUUGAGUUCGGGAGAGGUGAGUGGAACUGCGAGUGUAGAGGUGAAAUUCGUAGAUAUUCGCAAGAACACCAGUGGCGAAGGCGGCUCACUGGCCCGAUACUGACGCUGAGACGCGAAAGCGUGGGGAGCGAACAGG
rnacentral:rRNA from 1 species